rnacentral:rRNA from 1 species
AUACGGAGGACGCGAGCGUUAUCCGGAUUCAUUGGGUUUAAAGGGAGCGCAGGCGGAGAUGCAAGCGUGACGUCAAAUUUCGGGGCUCAACCCCGUCUCGCGUCGCGAACUGCGUCCCUUGGUUGCGGGAAGGGGAGGCGGAACUCGUGGUGUAGCGGUGAAAUGCAUAGAUAUCACGAAGAACUCCGAUCGCGAAGGCAGCCUUCCGGCCCGUCAACGACGCUCAUGCUCGAAGGUGCGGGUAUCAAACAGGAUUAGAUACCCUGGUAGUCCGCACAGUAAACGAUGGACACCCGCGGUUUGGCCUAUAUGGCUGAGCCGCCAAGCGAAAGCGUUAAGUGUCCCACCUGGGGAGUACGCCGGCAACGGUGAAACUCAAAUGAAUUGGCGGG